AAUAUUGCACAAUGGAGGGAACUCUGAUGCAGCAACGCCGCGUGAGUGAAGAAGGUUUUCGGAUCGUAAAACUCUGUCAUUGGGGAAGAAUAAAUGACGGUACCCAAUGAGGAAGCCCCGGCUACCUACGUGCCAGCAGCCGCGGUAAUACGUAGGUGGCAAGCGUUGUCCGGAUUUAUUGGGCGUAAAGCGAGCGCAGGCGGUCCCUUAAGUCUGAUGUGAAAGCACACGGCUUAACCGUGGAAGGUCAUUGGAAACUGGAGGGCUUGAGUAUCGGAGAGGGUAGUGGAAUUCCCAGUGUAGCGGUGGAAUGCGUAGAUAUUGGGAGGAACACCAGUGGCGAAGGCGACUACCUGGACGAAAACUGACGCUGAGGCGCGAAAGCGUGGGUAGCGAACA
rnacentral:rRNA from 1 species